UGCAGAGGUCCCAAGCGUUGUUCGGAUUCACUGGGCGUAAAGGGUGCGUAGGCGGUCGGGUAAGUCUGAUGUGAAAUCUCACAGCUUAACUGUGAAACUGCAUUGGAUACUAUCCGGCUCGAGGAAUGGAGGGGAGACUGGAAUACUUGGUGUAGCAGUGAAAUGCGUAGAUAUCAAGUGGAACACCAGUGGCGAAGGCGAGUCUCUGGACAUUUCCUGACGCUGAGGCACGAAAGCCAUGGGAGCAAACGGG
rnacentral:rRNA from 1 species